CAGGCCUUACCACUCUACCAAAGCAGCAGUGAUCUUCUGAGUUGAUAUCUACAGUGGCUUCUCUUGAUUUUCACCAGGACUUGGCUGUGGGCCUGGCACUAAUUAUGUACUUGGAGGGCGACCCUCUGGGGGUACUGCCCCAUGAACUGCUGUAAUUCAGGUCACCUUCUCCAGGACUCAUCUCUGUGCUUUGUCUAUUUUCUGAUCUUCUUUCUUCAGGGCAGAGAGAAGAUGAACAAAGAAGUACUGGUAUUUCAGACAAGCAAAAGUUGCCUCAAGUCUUUUUCUGUGUUCAAGAUCUC